CCUCUGGUAGCUCAGUUGGUAGAGCGGUGGACUGUAGGUCCAUAGGUCGCUGGUUCAAAUCCGGCCCAGAGGA